AUUUUAUUGACAUCAUUCAGACUCUCUCUGGACUUUACAUAAGAUAUUGAGAUAACUCCAAAAGGUUUGAAAAGCGAGAAAUUUUGAAGUAUCAUGAAAAGAUGUAUUUAGCUAAUAAUGCUAUUUGUUCAUGGUAUGUAUAUUUCUAAUAACAUUUUGAUAUCAUUUUGAGUAGGGAAAACAAAACAAAAACAUAUGUCAAUCCUUAUUUGAAUGGUAAAUUGACAUUUUUAAAAUCC
rnacentral:lncRNA from 1 species